rnacentral:rRNA from 1 species
UACGUAGGGCGCAAGCGUUGUCCGGAAUUAUUGGGCGUAAAGAGCUCGUAGGCGGUCUGUUGCGUCCGCUGUGAAAACUCGGGGCUUAACCCCGAGCCUGCAGUGGAUACGGGCAGACUAGAGGUAGGUAGGGGAGAAUGGAAUUCCCGGUGUAGCGGUGAAAUGCGCAGAUAUCGGGAGGAACACCGGUGGCGAAGGCGGUUCUCUGGGCCUUACCUGACGCUGAGGAGCGAAAGCCAGGGGAGCGAACGGG